GUGGUCACUUCGGCAGCACAUAUACUAAAAUUGGAAUGAUACAGAGAAGAUUAUCAUGGCCCCUGUGCAAAGAUGACACACAAAUUCAUGAAACAUUCUAUAUUUAA
rnacentral:snRNA from 1 species